UACGUAGGGUGCAAGCGUUAUCCGGAGUUACUGGGCGUAAAGCGCGUGUAGGUGGCUUGUUACGUCUGCUGUGAAAGCUCCCGGCUUAACCGGGACUAGGCGGUAGAUACGGGCAAGCUCGAGGGUGACAGAGGAGCGUAGAAUUCCGGGUGUAGUGGUGAAAUGCGUAGAGAUCCGGAGGAAUACCAGUGGCGCAAGCGGCGCUCUGGGGUCGAGCCUGACACUGAGA
rnacentral:rRNA from 1 species